AACGAACGCUGGCGGCAUGCCUAACACAUGCAAGUCGAACGAGACCUUCGGGUCUAGUGGCGCACGGGUGCGUAACGCGUUGGAACCUGCCCUUAGGUUCGGAAUAACUCCCCGAAAUGGGUGCUAAUACCGGAUAAUGUCUUCGGACCAAAGAUUUAUCGCCUUUGGAUGGGCCCGCGUUGGAUUAGCUAGUUGGUAGGGUAAAAGCCUACCAAGGCGACGAUCCAUAGCUGGUCUGAGAGGAUGAUCAGCCACACUGGGACUGAGACACGGCCCAGACUCCUACGGGAGGCAGCAGUGGGGAAUAUUGGACAAUGGGCGAAAGCCUGAUCCAGCAAUGCCGCGUGAGUGAUGAAGGCCUUAGGGUUGUAAAGCUCUUUUACCCGGGAUGAUAAUGACAGUACCGGGAGAAUAAGCUCCGGCUAACUCCGUG
rnacentral:rRNA from 1 species